UAAGACGUAGGGCGCGAGCGUUGUCCGGAUUUAUUGGGCGUAAAGAGCUCGUAGGCGGUCCAUUGCGUCUGUCGUGAAAACCUGCAGCUUAACUGUGGGCUUGCGGUUGAUACGGGUGGGCUGGAGUUCGGUAGGGGAGACUGGAAUUCCUGGUGUAGCGGUGAAAUGCGCAGAUAUCAGGAGGAACACCGGUGGCGAAGGCGGGUCUCUGGGCCGAUACUGACGCUGAGGAGCGAAAGCGUGGGGAGCGAACAGGAUUAGAUACCCUGGUAGUCCACGCUGUAAACGUUGGGCGCUAGGUGUGGGGGGCCUCUCCGGUUUCCUGCGCCGUAGCUAACGCAUUAAGCGCCCCGCCUGGGGAGUACGGCCGCAAGGCUA
rnacentral:rRNA from 1 species